UCCUUUCCCCCCCCCAUGGAUCCUUCCAAGCAAAGCUUCCCGGAUCAUCUGGAUUCCUGCAGCUCUCAGCUGCCAGGAGCCCGGAGGGAGGGAGGGAGCAGCACGCAGCCUGGGAGGCAGCUGGGAUGAGAGACGCACGACGUAUAUAUUUUCCAUUUUCUCAUCUGAAUUACGAGCUCCAAUAAAUAAGGCUGGAAAUCUCACGCAGCGCCGACCUCCUCCCAGGUAUCCCACGCUCGGAGCCAGCGGAGGUGGCAGCAGGUCUGUCACUUUGCAGCGGGGCCGCUGUAAUUAUGCUGUGGGAAGCAGAGCUCACUUCGCCGAACCCUGAGCGGAUUAAGGAUCCUCCGUGCCUUUUCCCACCCCUCUCUGCCAGGGAAGGAGACGCCUGGAGGAGCUCUGAGGGGGUGAAGCAGCCUGCAGGAGAUCUGCUGCCUUCUCCCCGCUGGUGCUCCCCUCCAGCUCCUUCUGGAUGCAUGGCACGGGCUCUGCUUGCUGCUAGAUCACCCCUUCCCAUCAACACGUCUGCAACACCGGGACCUUCUCCUUCAGAGCUCACCCUGAGCUGCUGCAUGCAGGGUGCUCCCCAGCACACGGGGAGGUCUGUGCAAGGCAGCAGCUUCCAGCCCGAGCUGCCGUUGUGCUCUGUGUGCAGCAGGGAGGUGUAUCAUUAAUCUAUUAAUUAUUCACACUGCGCCAGACGGGCGCGCGGAAGAUCAGACGGGGAUUGCUGGCUCCCAGCGAGCUCCUCGACUCUCCUUAUGUCAAGAAUUGCUCUUCAGUCACAGGCACGUUGUCACCGGCCACCUGCAUGUGACAGGACAAUCUUUGUUAAAAUCCCAAUUAGCAGAUAAUAAGGGCGGCACGAAACCACAUUCUCCCAAGCCAGAUUGGCACCCGCCCUCCUAUUUUUUUUCCUUUCUCUUUAUUUUUUGUCCUUUCCCUUUCUAAAAUGGAUGUUUCUCGCCAAGACUUCAGGGCAAGAGGCAGCUCAGGCUUUCAGUAGGAACAACUGGAGAAAGCUAGAGGAGCUCAUGGUCUACCUGGUGCAAGGCAUGGAGAGAAGAAGCUACAGAAAGAGGUGUGACAUUCCCUUUGCAAGGCUUAGGGGAGCAAGUAUUGGGCUCGAUGGUCUUUCCAACCUAGGAACCGUGAUCCCAUGAGAUACAGAGUCCCCAACCCUGGAGGUGUUCCAGAACCAUGGGGAUGUGGCACUGAAGGAUGUGAUCAGUGGGCAUGGCGGGGUGGGUUCGGGUUGGAUGCGGUGAUCCUAGAGGUGUUUCCAGCCUUAAUGAUUCUGUGGUUCUAAGCACUGUGCGAGCAGUGUGCCACGUUGGGUGUCCUGUCCCUUCCACCCAACUAAGACCACUCUGUUUGCCAUUUUCUCAUCAUUGUGGGCACUGCGUUGACUCAUCUGCUUAUUUUUAACUGGGGCAGAUCUUACGGAAGGAGCAAAAUGACUCCAAGUCUGAGUGACAGUGGCGGGGGAUGGAGUCCCAACGUUAAUCUUCCCCAUGCAGGUCUGAAGAAGUGGAAGCCUCCACUGAAUGCCACGUCGUCCCAUGGCCCCCUUGUAAACAAGGUGGGCUUCUUCAAAACAUUUAUUUCAGGUAUCAAACUGAAUGUUCCAUCUCUUGAGGGAUUCGAUUCUCUCUUUCCAGGCAGGGCUCCCAGUGCCUCAGCACAAGGCUUUAAAGGCAUUGCUCCACUCUUUUGGAUUAGUGACCCAUUCUAACAGGUCCUCAUUGACCGCCAUCGCGGGUCUCUCAAAGAGUCCAUUGGGCGCAGCUUACAAAGGAGCUGAGCCGGAGAUGAAGAGUUUACAAAAAGUUUGUAGGAAACCGUGGAGUCCUUUUAAAAGAGAAUAAACUGCCACUGCUGUGUCUGGGCUGAGUUAAUCUGAUUAGGCCAAGCUCAUCAACAGCCCCGCUGAAAGGAGCGCGGGGGGAACGCGGGCUGGGGCGGCCCUGGAGAGAAACCGGGGACCUUUUUAGCAUGGAAGUCAAACAAAACCCAUUGUGGCAGAGCGUGCUUGCCUACAGAUGGCAAAAUGACACAUCUUUGCAAAGGCAAAGCAAAUAUCCUUGAUGGUUUUUCUCUGUUUUGUUUUGUUUUUUUCUGGUUUUCUUCUCAGGUAUGGGAGCAGACACUGAAUGAGAUUAGCAGAUGCCAAAGGGAACGGGGCUGUGAAGCACUGCAGAUAGGUGUCCUGGUUGCUUGGGUGGGAUAGGUUGAUGAAGUUCACCUUCUCUAUGUAAAAUAUGGAGGGAUAGGAAGCCCUCAUACCUAGCAUUUCUUCUCCUCUGUCCCUUGGGAAUUGCACAGAUAUCUACAUGGGGAGCAAUGCAGACCCCGUGUCCACCAAGGGACAUGGUGGUGGUGGGUUGGUGAUCCUAGUGGCCAUUCCCAUCCUUAACAAUCUGACAACUCUAUGAUUCCAUGCUCCAUCAUCACCCACUUUGGGCCAUCCCUCAGUGGAUGACCAGGCAAUGCACCACCAAGGCUUUGCAGCAGCCUACAUGCAAACCCAACCACUUCAUCUGCUCGUGGCCAUAGCACCUUCAUCCCUAAGAAGCAGUGAUGCACAGCAAGUCAAUGCACUUGGACAAUGUGCUUGCAUGAUGCCCUUGUCUGAUGCACUAGCAAGAAGCAAUUGCACCAUGCUCUUGUACGAUGCAUCAGCAUGAUGUACUUGUAUGUUGCGCCUCCACAAUGCACUUGUAUGACGCAUUACUAUGGUGCACUUGCACGGUGCAGCCAAGGAAACACUGCCUACCAGGUCCUCUCUCCUUCCCCUUUUCCCCAGGCUUCAGCACGUCAAUCCUGCAGUUUUGACCUUGGUAAGCACUGCAGCACUUGAGCAAACACCUGAACAAGCCUUUGGCCCCCACGGCAUCCCAAAGAGGCUGUGCAGGGCCAGACAGCACUGACUGUGGGCAAAAGAAAACCCCUAAUUAAACGUCCCGUCGGGAAGUGACAUCCCCACCACUGCUCUGUAUUAGAGGAGCCAGGGCCGUGCUUGGAUUUACCAUAGGCAGCUCCUUAGCCAAUAUAAUUAAGAACAGUAUCAGUGGAAGGCAUGUAAGGAGAUUUUCUCCCCGAGGCCACCUAAUACAGAUGUAAUUGACUCUAUUUUCUGCUUUCUGCACAUGGAUUGCCGCAACUCAGCCCCUAUUAUCCGCCAACAAAUGAACAGGAUCUGCUGAAAGGACCUCUCCAGCCAGGGCCAGGCACAGAGAAUGGAGCACUGGGCUGUGUUAAAUCCGGACACAACGCGUUCCUUCCCUCCCUUUUCAUCUCCGCCGCCUUUUCAAGAUGUUUUCCAUGCGGGAUAAGUCAGCAGAUCUGGGCUUGGGCAAAGCGUUGGCACUCGGGGAAGAAGGGAACAUCUGUCCCAAUCAGCUGUGCUAUUCUGUGCCGCCCGACAAAACCGGGCGAUGCCUUCGAGAGGGGCUUUGUGAGCACGGCUGCAAUUUCCUUUCGCUGCGAUUUCGAAGGGCGGGGAAGGAGGAAGGGAGGUGAGAAAAGAAAUUAAAGCCCAUUGGCUUUGUGGUGAAAGAGGCCCCGAAAAAAUCUCCAUUUCUAACGCUGCAAAAUCCCCACCGCGUUCCCACAGCCAUCCCCCAAAAGGAUGUCCUCAGCAGCAGAGGCGCAAAGAAGAAUAGUUUAUUAGUGUAGAAAGCAAUUUGCUUAGCAAUACCCUUGCUUACAGCUGAAGGAGCCCCAGUGCUUCCUUGGAGCAAGAGAUGCUCUGAGCAUCCCAAUGGUGCACAUGGGAUGCAAUGGUGCACUGGUGCAAGGGUUGCGUCCCAGUGGUGCACAUGGGAUGCAGCUGUAUAAUGGUGCACAUGGGAUGCAGUGGUGCAAUGGUGAAAGGGAUGCAUCCCAAUAGUGCACAAGGGAUGCAGUGGUGCAAUGGUGCAAGGGAUGUGUCCCAGUGGUGCACAUGGGAUGCAGUUGUAUAAUGGUGCACAUGGGAUGCAAUGGUGCAGUGGUGUAAGGGAUGCAUCCCAAUAGCACAGAAGGGAUGCAAUGGUGCAGUGGUGCAAGGGAUGCAUUCCAAUGGUGCACAUGGGAUGUGGUGAUGCAAUGGUGUAAAGGAUGCAUCUCAACGGUGCCCUUGGGAUGCAAUGGUGCAAUGGUGCAAGGGAAACAUCCCAGUGGUGCACAUGGGAUGCAAUGGUGCAAUGGUGUGAGGGACACAUCCCAGUGGUACAUAUGGGAUGAAGUGAUGCAGUGGUGUAAGGGAUGCAUCCCAAUGGUGCACAUGGAAUGCAAUGGUGCAGAGGUUUUCCCACUCCACUUUUGGGAGCAUUGGGCUGUCUGACCCUGGCAAUUAAUGGCGGCUGAUUAGAGCACUGAGCUCCAGAGGGAAGACUUGUCCUGUGCUGCUCCCCAUGCAACCUGCCAGCCCUGAUGUCUUCACUCCCUUCCACCAUCCCCUCAUGGAACACACCCCCAGUACAGUGCAUGGCAAGGGAUGAGCACAGGGGACAAGGUGGGGGAAAUCUGGGGGGUGACAGCCUGUCCACACACAAACAGCAGCCAAGGGGCCCAGCUGCCAGCCCUGCACAGCCCCAACAAACCCCCACGCAGCCCCCACCAUUCUGGGCUGUUUCUCAGCUCUCCCCCCUCCCCCCCCCCCCCGCCCCGAGCUGCAAGGCUUUUGAGAGGGGCUCCCAGGUUUUCAGAGCUGGGCUGCAAUCAAGUUGGGUUUAGGGAUCAAAGUGCACGUAUCCGAGGGAGCGGUUGGUCCUCCUCUGUUCUCUGAUCAAACACAAAUAUUGGGAUUAAAUCCCGCCUCGUGAGGCAGCACUCGAGGUGCAAAGAGCCCUUAAGGUGGCUUCGUGGGGGGGGGGUUCUCAGAGUGCAAAGCCCAUUGCAACACCAGCAGUGCCAGCUGGUGCAGGACGGUGUGAGCGUGCAGUGAUAUGGGGAGCACAAGGGGGGAGUUUGUUGCAGCAAGCUGAAAGCAAAGCAUGGGGUGACAGCGGGCAUCGUGUUCUGUGCUGUGUGCUGGGUUAUGUUUGGUUAAAAGGCGGUUUGUGAAGCAGUGCAGGUUGUGGCGAUGCCUUUGGAGAGUAAAGGGGGUGGUGUGAGAGGAGAGUAGGAAUUGCUAUGGGGUUGGUGAAGGGAAUGAGAAAGCAUGGGGGGAAGGGAGGAAGAAGAAAAGAAAGAAUAAGGAGAAAAGAAAAAGAAGUGAAAAAAAGAAAAUGAGAAGAAGAAAAGAAAAAAAAGAGGAAAAAGGAAGGAAAGGGAAAAAAGAAAAGGAAAUGAAGAAGGAAACAGGGAAAAAUGAGGGGAAAAUGAGGAGAAAAGGAGAAGAAAAGAAGAAAAAAAUGGAGAAAAAUGGAGAAAAAUGAGGGGAAAAUGGAGGAAAAUGGAGCAAAAAAUGGAGCAAAAAUUGGAGCAAAAAUGGAGAAAAUAGAGGAAAAAAAGGAGAAGAAAAGGAGGAAAAAGGAGGAAAAAGGUGAAAAAGGAGAAAAAAGAGAAAAAAGAGAAAAAAAGCAGAAAAAAGCAGAGAAAAGGAGAAAAAUAGGAGAAAAAUAGGAGAAAAAAGGAGAAAAAUGGAAAAGAAAAGAAGAAGAAAAGAAGAAAACAGAAGAGGAAAGAAGAAAAAGAAAAAAGAAAUAAAAAAAAAGAAGAAAAAAGGAAAACGGAUGAAAAGAAGAAAAAGGAGGGGGAAAAGAGACGAAGAGAAGAAGAAAAAAGCAAAAAGAAUAAGGAAAAAAAGAAAGAAGAAAAAAGAAAGGCGAGGAAAAGAAGAAAAAACGAAGGGGAAAAAAAGAAAAAGAAAACCGGGAAACAAAAAAACAAAAAAGAAAAGAAAGAAAUCGCCUUCAAAAUAACAACAAACAACAAAAAAGAACAGCGUUGAUUUCAGAAGCGCAGCUCCGAGCGCUGCCCGCUCCCUCAGCGCCCGCACACGCACGCGCUCUGCGCACCGCCGCGCGCUCCCAUCCCCCCCUCCCG
ensembl:lncRNA